UAUAAUGGUGGGACGUAACGGGGGAGCCUUCGGGCUCGCCGGCUUCAUCUUCUUCACCGGUAUGCUAACCCCGAUACGUCUCGCCACC
rnacentral:antisense_RNA from 16 species